rnacentral:rRNA from 1 species
GACGAACGCUGGCGGCGUGCUUAACACAUGCAAGUCGAACGGAAAGGCCCUGCUUUUGUGGGGUGCUCGAGUGGCGAACGGGUGAGUAACACGUGAGUAACCUGCCCUUGACUUUGGGAUAACUUCAGGAAACUGGGGCUAAUACCGGAUAGGAGCUCCUGCUGCAUGGUGGGGGUUGGAAAGUUUCGGCGGUUGGGGAUGGACUCGCGGCUUAUCAGCUUGUUGGUGGGGUAGUGGCUUACCAAGGCUUUGACGGGUAGCCGGCCUGAGAGGGUGACCGGCCACAUUGGGAAUGAGAUACGGACCAGACUGCUACGGGAGGCAGCAGUGGGGAAUAUUGCACAAUGGGCGGAAGCCUGAUGCAGCAACGCCGCGUGCGGGAUGACGGCCUUCGGGUUGUAAACCGCUUUCGCCUGUGACGAAGCGUGAGUGACGGUAAUGGGUAAAGAAGCACCGGCUAACUACGUG